AGAAUGCAUGAUUAUUGCCAAUGAUGCCACCGUCAAAGGAGGUGCCUACUACCCAGUGACUGUGAAAAAACAAUUACGGGCCCAAGAAAUUGCCAUGCAAAACAGGCUCCCCUGCAUCUACUUGGUUGACUCCGGAGGAGCAUACUUACCUCGACAAGCAGAUGUGUUUGCAGAUCGAGACCACUUUGGCCGUACAUUCUAUAAUCAGGCAAUUAUGUCUUCUAAAAAUAUUGCACAGAUCGCAGUGGUCAUGGGCUCCUGCACCGCAGGAGGAGCCUAUGUGCCUGCCAUGGCUGAUGAAAACAUCAUCGUACGCAAGCAGGGUACCAUUUUCUUGGCAGGACCCCCCUUGGUUAAAGCGGCAACUGGGGAAGAAGUAUCCGCCGAGGAUCUUGGAGGUGCUGAUCUUCAUUGCAGAAAGUCUGGAGUAAGUGACCACUAUGCUUUGGAUGAUCAUCAUGCCCUUCACUUAACUAGGAAGGUUGUGAGGAAUCUAAAUUAUCAGAAGAAAUUGGAUGUCACCAUUGAACCUUCUGAAGAGCCUUUAUUUCCUGCUGAUGAAUUGUAUGGAAUAGUUGGUGCUAACCUUAAGAGGAACUUUGAUGUCCGAGAGGUAUGUGAAAGUGGAACUGUGAGCUUUUUGACCAGCUGUGAGUCUCUUUGUAUGUGUAUCUAUUUUCAAAGCUAAAGUUUGUUAAGAUAUGUUCAUGCCUAGAAAUAGAUGUGGAUCUCAGUAAGGAGUGACAUAUGUGGCAAUGAUACCUUUCCAUACUGUAGAUAUCACUGGUACAGAGUAAAUACUAAAAGAGGGGAGUGGGGGACCUCAAUGAUUGGAAAGUUUUCAUUGCACAAAAAGUGUGAUUUGGUCAUAAGUAAGACUCCAUGUCCUGUGCACAUUAUGAAUGAUGUAAGGCAACUUAACAAUUGUCAGCUAUUUCUUUUCAUUGUUCUUAUUUUGGGAAAUGGAUGAAAUGUCAGUAAGUUGUUGGAAGAAAAAACAUACCCUUUUAGAUCAAUAAGACAUUUGCAAUGAUUAGACCUGAUUACAGUUGAAAAUGUUGCUAUGGUUACACAUUGUCGACAUAGCAUUCUGUAAUUUAGAUGGACAACUUUUAGGGUUUAGAGCAUACAGUCUUUUAUUUUGUUUAGUAUCCAUAGUUGGCAGAGUAGUUUUUAAAUUAGGAAAUUAUCUUAAUAUCAAAUUCUGUGCUGGAGGUUUUAAUAUUUCACAUUAUAUUUCCCCCUUGACUAUAAAAUAUUAUACAUUAGUUGUGAAAAAUAUAGAAAAUACAGAAAAGAAAAAAAUUAAAUUGCAUAUAAUUCCACCCUCUAGAGAAGGUGGCUAAUAUUUGGAUGUUUUAGCUUAAUGUGUAUAUACACACAUUUUUAUGUAGUUGAGAUAGUCUAUACGUAUAUUUUUUUAUUUUACUUUUUCUAGUUUAAAUUAUGAACAUUUUCCCAUGUCUUAAGAAAUUCUUCAUGAAAUAUUUUCUACGGCUAGAUCUUAAUUCCUAUAAUAGUACUUGGCAACAUGGUAAGUAAUCAGUAACUAUUUUCUAGAUGCAUUGAUGGAUGUAACGUUAUGUUGUAUGGAUUUAUUUAGGCAAUACCCCGGCAUUGCUAGUGGGUCUUAAAUCCUGGAUUUUAUUGAGCUUCAAGUGAUAUGUCACUUUAGCAAACGUGACUUAGUUAAUUGUAAAUUUUUAAAUUAGGUUUUUAGUUUGACUUUUAAUUAAUUAUAAGCACAGAAAAAAAUGGUACUUAAACUCUGACGUACUUGAAAAAUGUGUUGGGCCAGGUGCAGUGGCUCAUGCCUGUAAUCCCAGCACUUUGGGAGGUGGAGGCAGGCAGAUCCCUUGAGUCCAGGAGAUCAGCUGGCUAACAUGGUGAAACCCCAUCUCUACUAAACAUACAAAAAUUAGCCAGGCGUGGUAGCACAUGCCUGUAAUCCCAGCUACUCAGGAGGCCAAAACAAGAGAAUCGCUUGAACCUGGGAGCAGAGGUUGCAGUGAGCCGAGAUUGCACCACUGCACUCCAGCCUGGGUGACAGAGUGAGACUCUGUCUCAAAAUAAAUAAAUAAAUAAAU
rnacentral:sRNA from 1 species